rnacentral:rRNA from 1 species
AGAGUUUGAUCCUGACUCAGAACGAACGCUGGCGGCGUGCCUAACACAUGCAAGUCCAACGUGAAAGGGGAGCAAUCCCCCGGUAGGGUGGCAAACGGGUGAGUAAUACAUGGGUGAUCUACCUUAGGGAUGGGGAUAUCCUUCCGAAAGGAGGGGCAAUACCGAAUAUUGUCCGGAGCCGUGAAGGGUUCCGGGGAAAGGGAGGCCUCUGAUACAAGCUUUCGCCUUAAGAUGAGCCCAUGGCCCAUCAGCUAGUUGGUAGGGUAAAGGCCUACCAAGGCUACGACGGGUCGCUGGUCUGAGAGGACGACCAGCCACACUGGCACUGAGAUACGGGCCAGACUCCUACGGGAGGCAGCAGUGAGGAAUAUUGCGCAAUGGGGGAAACCCUGACGCAGCAACGCCGCGUGUGGGAAGAAGGCCUUCGGGUCGUAAACCACUUUUGCACGGGACGAAAAAGGGAUAUCGAACAAAUAUCCCCGAUGACGGUACCGUGAGAAUAAGCCACGGCUAACUCUGUGCCAGCAGCCGCGGUAAGACAGAGGUGGCAAGCGUUGUUCGGAAUUACUGGGCGUAAAGAGUCUGUAGGUGGUUUGUCAAGUCUUUGGUGAAAGGCCGUAGCUUAACUAUGGGAAUGCCAAAGAGACUGGCAGG